rnacentral:rRNA from 1 species
AGCGAACGCUGGCGGCAGGCCUAACACAUGCAAGUCGAACGAACUCUUCGGAGUUAGUGGCGGACGGGUGAGUAACACGUGGGAACGUGCCUUUAGGUUCGGAAUAACUCAGGGAAACUUGUGCUAAUACCGAAUGUGCCCUUCGGGGGAAAGAUUUAUCGCCUUUAGAGCGGCCCGCGUCUGAUUAGCUAGUUGGUUAGGUAAAGGCUCACCAAGGCGACGAUCAGUAGCUGGUCUGAGAGGAUGAUCAGCCACAUUGGGACUGAGACACGGCCCAAACUCCUACGGGAGGCAGCAGUGGGGAAUAUUGCGAAAUGGGCGAAAGCCUGAAGCAGCCAUGCCGCGUGAAUGAUGAAGGUCUUAGGAUUGUAAAAUUCUUUCACCGGGGACGAUAAUGACGGUACCCGGAGAAGAAGCCCCGGCUAACUUCGUG